CGAGUGGCGGACGGGUGAGUAAUGUCUGGGAAACUGCCCGAUGGAGGGGGAUAACUACUGGAAACGGUAGCUAAUACCGCAUAACGUCGCAAGACCAAAGAGGGGACCUUCGGGCCUCUUGCCAUCGGAUGAACCCAUAUGGGAUUAGCUGUAGGUAAGGUAACGGCUUACCUAGGCGACGAUCCCUAGCUGGUCUGAGAGGAUGAUCAGCCACACUGGGACUGAGACACGGCCCAG
rnacentral:rRNA from 1 species